AGCGCAGGCGGUUAUUUAAGUCAGGUGUGAAAGCCCCGAGCUCAACUUGGGACGUGCAUUUGAAACUGGAUAACUAGAGUGUGUCAGAGGGGGGUAGAAUUCCACGUGUAGCAGUGAAAUGCGUAGAGAUGUGGAGGAAUACCGAUGGCGAAGGCAGCCCCCUGGGAUAACACUGACGCUCAUGCUCGAAAGCGUGGGCAGCAAACA
rnacentral:rRNA from 1 species